rnacentral:rRNA from 1 species
UCUAAGUGUGACGAAAGGUUUGGCGGACAUGGAUGGGGAUGCGUCCGAUUAGCUAGUUGCGGGUAACGCCACCAAGGCGACGGAUCGGUAGGGGUUCUGAGAGGAAGGUCCCCCCACAUUGGAACUGAGACACGGUCCAAACUCCUACGGGAGGCAGCAGUGAGGAAUAUUGGUCAAUGGACGUAAGUCUGAACCAGCCAAGUAGCGUGCAGGAUGACGGCCCUAUGGGUUGUAAACUGCUUUUAUGCGGGGAUAAAGUGUGGGACGUGUCCCAUAUUGCAGGUACUGCAUGAAUAAGGACCGGCUAAUUCCGUG